GCCUGAGUGAUGAAAUUGGUAUACAUGGGGGAUUCAAAAUCCCCUGCUUCACGGCGUGUCGGUUCGAGUCCGACCUCAGGUACCA
rnacentral:tRNA from 6 species